rnacentral:rRNA from 1 species
GACGAACCGUGCGAACGUUAUUCGGAAUCACUGGGCUUAAAGCGCGUGUAGGCGGAUGGGAACGUCGGUCGCUGAAAUCCCCCGGCUCAACCGGGGAACGGGCGCCGAAACGACCCGUCUGGAGGGACGUAGGGGGACCUGGAACUUCCGGUGGAGCGGUGAAAUGCGUUGAGAUCGGAAGGAACGCCCGUGGCGAAAGCGAGGUCCUGGACGUCUACUGACGCUGAGACGCGAAAGCUAGGGUAGCGAACGGG